rnacentral:rRNA from 1 species
UUGGAGGGCAAGUCUGGUGCCAGCAGCCGCGGUAAUUCCAGCUCCAAUAGCGUAUAUUAAAGUUGUUGCAGUUAAAAAGCUCGUAGUUGAAUUUCGGGAUCAAUAUGUUGGUCGUGCCUUGGUACGUACUGGCGUCAUUGGUUUCUACCUUCUGAAGAACCUCGAUGUCAUUAAUUUGGUGUCUUGGGGAAUCAGGACUGUUACUUUGAAAAAAUUAGAGUGUUUAAAGCAAGCUCACGCUUGANUACAUUAGCAUGGAAUAAUGAAAUAGGACGUUUGAUUCUAUUUUGUUGGUUUCUAGGAUCGACGUAAUGAUUAAUAGGGAUAGUUGGGGGCAUUAGUAUUCAAUUGUCAGAGGUGAAAUUCUUGGAUUUAUUGAAGACUAACUACUGCGAAAGCAUUUGCCAAGGAUGUUUUCAUUAAUCAAGAACGAAAGUUAGGGGAUCGAAGACGAUCAGAUACCGUCGUAGUCUUAACCAUAAACUAUGCCGAACUAGGGAUCGGAUGAUGUUAAUUUUUUAANGAANNCAUUCGGCGCCUUAUCGGGAAAC